AACGAACGCUGGCGGCAGGCCUAAUACAUGCAAGUCGAACGCACCGCAAGGUGAGUGGCAGACGGGUGAGUAACGCGUGGGAACCUUCCUAGUAGUACGGAAUAACUCCGGGAAACCGGUGCUAAUACCGUAUAAGCCCUCCGGGGGAAGGAUUUAUCGCUACUAGAUGGGCCCGCGUCGGAUUAGCUUGUUGGUGAGGUAAUGGCUCACCAAGGCUUCGAUCCGUAGCUGGUCUGAGAGGANGAUCAGCCACACUGGGACUGAGACACGGCCCAGACUCCUACGGGAGGCAGCAGUAGGGAAUAUUGGACAAUGGGCGAAAGCCUGAUCCAGCCAUGCCGCGUGAGUGAAGAAGGCCUUUAGGGUUNUAAAGCUCUUUGGCGGGAAGAUAAUGACGGUACCCGCAGAAUAAGCUC
rnacentral:rRNA from 1 species